rnacentral:rRNA from 1 species
UUGAAAGGGAAACGAUUGAAGUCAGUCGUACCAGCGGGAAAUCGACCUUUCGAGUGGGGGUUUUGGAGUUUUUUGAAGAGUGUCAAAACCUUUGAGAUUUCAAAAUAUUCGCUCUUUUGGUGUACUUUCUCGUGGGUAGGUUAACAUCGAUUUUGAUCAUCAUAAAAAGAUUGGAGGAAUGUAGCUUCGAUCUUGUAUUGAAGUGUUAUAGCCUUUGGUAAAUGUGAUGAUUAGGAUCGAGGAUUGCAACGAAUACCCUUUUGGGCUAUCCGCCUGAUCUCUGAUACGUGGCCUUGGUAUCGAAAGCGUGCUUAUGGUACUGAGGUAUUACGGUCAAAAGGUUAGAACGGAUUACAUUCGUUAAGGAUGUUGACGUA